rnacentral:misc_RNA from 1 species
GCCUAAUGCUAUAACAAAGAUUGUAAGAAGAGAUUACAGAAAUGGAAUUUCUACUAACAAAAUCGUCUUUGCCACUCAAGAUAUACAACUCUUCAUACUUGUAGAGUAUCCAAGCCCGUGUGGGGGUAAAUAAGCUUCGUAUUCCACUAUUCCUCCUAUAAAAUAAAACAGCCUGAGGAGGGCCUUCAUCAAAGAAUGACUUCUAUGGUACAUUAAUCUGCUAACAAGUGUGAUGUUAUGUUGCCUCAAUGGCCUCUUCCACCUGUGGCUGGCGCUUAGGUCG